AGAUUAACCAUAAAGGAUUCAAAGUAGAAGCAGGAGGUGACCUAGCCACACGGCAGCCCAUCCACAUGUUGAGCUGAGGAAUGCAGAAGGAAAGCAAGAGUAUUUAGAAGGUGAAAUGAAGGGACAAAUUGAAGGAGCAGAGGAUUUGUUCAUAUUUCUCUUCU
rnacentral:lncRNA from 1 species